UCAAUUGCGAGCUGUAGCAAUAUCAAAGUGAACUGUCCCAAGUAACUCUUGUCUAGAAGCUGGGAAGAAGCUUAAGCAGCUCGCUUUAAUGAUGAUUUGUAGCUCGGCGAGGGGCACGGACAGCAAACACCCCGCAGGUGUGUGCCGUAACACCACCAUCCGGACUUGAAUGUAGAUUACUCUGGCGAUCGUUUGAUCGGCCCUUUGAAACCCUUCACAAUUGCCUGUGACGAACGGCCAGUCUCAGUUUUUCUCGGAAUAAUGCCUAGAGGAAAUCAGAAUUCAACUUGGAGAAAGUGGAAGAGUGGCUUCAACUGUGAACUCAAACUUUAAUAGCUAAAUCAGCCACCUAGGUGGGCUAUGAUUGAUAAUGGAAACCGAAGCCUUAAGUUUACAGAUAAAUCACGAAACAGACAGGCAUGCAGAAGUAACUAGACGUCCAACACAUGCCAAAGUCUUGCGGGCCCAGGAUUUCAAACAAAAGAAAACUCGGGUAACGUGACUGUAAAUCAAGGGCGCUUGAGACCAUAGACAUGCGCACCUAGAAGGGUUAAUCGGCGGAGGGGGAGGAGAGAGGCUCCUCCCGCGGUCUGUGUUGAGUCAGACUGCAGAAAGAGAACCAGAGCUCCAGCGGGCUAGUGGGAGCCCGGCGGUCCUGCACCGGGCGCGGUCCCCCUGCUAGGGGGCUGGGGUGGCGCGGGGCUGGGGCGGCGCAGGGCUGGGGCAGGGCACCACCUGGGAACCGCGGACCCGGCUGCGACCUGCGCGCCCCCUGCCCACCUCUUGGUGCGUCUACUUUUUUAUUGCCUGCAAGUCAUCUUGCACG
rnacentral:lncRNA from 1 species